UUUGAUCAUGGCUCAGGACGAACGCUGGCGGCGUGCCUAAUACAUGCAAGUAGAACGCUGAAGAGAGGAGCUUGCUCUUCUUGGAUGAGUUGCGAACGGGUGAGUAACGCGUAGGUAACCUGCCUUGUAGCGGGGGAUAACUAUUGGAAACGAUAGCUAAUACCGCAUAACAAUGGAUGACACAUGUCAUUUAUUUGAAAGGGGCAAUUGCUCCACUACAAGAUGGACCUGCGUUGUAUUAGCUAGUAGGUGAGGUAACGGCUCACCUAGGCGACGAUACAUAGCCGACCUGAGAGGGUGAUCGGCCACACUGGGACUGAGACACGGCCCAGACUCCUACGGGAGGCAGCAGUAGGGAAUCUUCGGCAAUGGGGGCAACCCUGACCGAGCAACGCCGCGUGAGUGAAGAAGGUUUUCGGAUCGUAAAGCUCUGUUGUAAGUCAAGAACGAGUGUGAGAGUGGAAAGUUCACACUGUGACGGUAGCUUACCAGAAAGGGACGGCUAACUACGUGCCAGCAGCCGCGGUAAUACGUAGGUCCCGAGCGUUGUCCGGAUUUAUUGGGCGUAAAGCGAGCGCAGGCGGUUUGAUAAGUCUGAAGUUAAAGGCUGUGGCUCAACCAUAGUUCGCUUUGGAAACUGUCAAACUUGAGUGCAGAAGGGGAGAGUGGAAUUCCAUGUGUAGCGGUGAAAUGCGUAGAUAUAUGGAGGAACACCGGUGGCGAAAGCGGCUCUCUGGUCUGUAACUGACGCUGAGGCUCGAAAGCGUGGGGAGCGAACAGGAUUAGAUACCCUGGUAGUCCACGCCGUAAACGAUGAGUGCUAGGUGUUGGAUCCUUUCCGGGAUUCAGUGCCGCAGCUAACGCAUUAAGCACUCCGCCUGGGGAGUACGACCGCAAGGUUGAAACUCAAAGGAAUUGACGGGGGCCCGCACAAGCGGUGGAGCAUGUGGUUUAAUUCGAAGCAACGCGAAGAACCUUACCAGGUCUUGACAUCCCGAUGCUAUUUCUAGAGAUAGAAAGUUACUUCGGUACAUCGGUGACAGGUGGUGCAUGGUUGUCGUCAGCUCGUGUCGUGAGAUGUUGGGUUAAGUCCCGCAACGAGCGCAACCCCUAUUGUUAGUUGCCAUCAUUCAGUUGGGCACUCUAGCGAGACUGCCGGUAAUAAACCGGAGGAAGGUGGGGAUGACGUCAAAUCAUCAUGCCCCUUAUGACCUGGGCUACACACGUGCUACAAUGGUUGGUACAACGAGUUGCGAGUCGGUGACGGCAAGCUAAUCUCUUAAAGCCAAUCUCAGUUCGGAUUGUAGGCUGCAACUCGCCUACAUGAAGUCGGAAUCGCUAGUAAUCGCGGAUCAGCACGCCGCGGUGAAUACGUUCCCGGGCCUUGUACACACCGCCCGUC
rnacentral:rRNA from 1 species